AACGAACGCUGGCGGCAUGCCUAACACAUGCAAGUCGAACGAUGGCUUCGGCCAUAGUGGCGCACGGGUGCGUAACGCGUGGGAAUCUGCCCUUAGGUUCGGAAUAACUCAGGGAAACUUGAGCUAAUACCGGAUAAUGACUUCGGUCCAAAGAUUUAUCGCCUAAGGAUGAGCCCGCGUCGGAUUAGCUUGUUGGUGAGGUAAAAGCUCACCAAGGCGACGAUCCGUAGCUGGUCUGAGAGGAUGAUCAGCCACACUGGGACUGAGACACGGCCCAGACUCCUACGGGAGGCAGCAGUGGGGAAUAUUGGACAAUGGGCGAAAGCCUGAUCCAGCAAUGCCGCGUGAGUGAUGAAGGCCUUAGGGUUGUAAAGCUCUUUUACCCGGGAUGAUAAUGACAGUACCGGGAGAAUAAGCCCCGGCUAACUCCGUGCCAGCCGCCGCCGUAA
rnacentral:rRNA from 1 species